rnacentral:misc_RNA from 1 species
AACAAGGCGUACCUGCGGACCUGCGGAGGGAUCAUUACAAAAAUUUCUCGGGGGCGUGACCGGUCACGGCACGCGCCCCCGCUGCAAGCGCCGGGAGGCGUCUGACAGCGCAACACUUUGUGAAAUCCCCACGUUGCUUCGGCAGCCCCUUUCAGGAGCGGUAAGCCUGCCGACAGCUUCCACCGAAACUCCUUCUGAAACCUGCACCUCCGUCUGAACAGCGCAGUCGAAUGACUACAA